AUGCCGAUCCUCUGCCAGAUUUUUCGCCUCCUCCGACCUGGCGUCGCCACCUUUCAUGGCCCAAUGCUCCGCCUCUCCUCUACCUCGCGACCUCUCCUCUCUUUCACGGCCUCUGCGCCGCCUUGCUGGUCGCCACCACCGCUUGCACCACGAGUUUUCCCUCUCAUGGCUCCCGAUCUACUUGUCCGUCGUAUUUCCCGAUUUCCUCCAGGAUCUCGGAGCAUGUCCAGCAACAGUGGACUUGAAGACAAGCGAUUGCUCAUCUCUUCUGCCAACUAUCAUUCUGUCAUCAGCCAAGGCACGAAAAAUGUAGAGACGAGUGGCACAACCUUGGAAGUUAUAGAUGAAAACGGAAGGAGUGCAACCAAGGAUACAAAGAGCGCAUUGAUAGCAAGCGGUGACAAAGUAUUCCCCAUGGAAUUGCUUCCAAAAAGCACACACCGUGAUGGUUCUAUAUACAGAAGCACUCAUGCGUGGAAAAAGAACUAUGCUGUUGAUGACCGUAGUGAGACUCGGUUGGCAGAUCCCAAAGAUUGCGUCUUCCGCAACGGAAAAUGCAAGCGGCAUAAUCCUAGUCGCGUCUUACAAUUUUUCUCAUUAAAGUUGGCUGAACUUACUGUGGAUGUUGGCCCAGUAGAGUUGUAUGGAUACAUAGCAGUGCGGGAUUGUCUGGAUACAUUGCUUAAUUAUGUUGUCAAUAUAAGCAGGGAUGAUCCUGUCAUCGUGAAACAGGGUUCUCUCAUCAACAUGGCUGGCCCUAAGCGAGGCAUAGAUAUGUAUUGCGCUGUUCUAGUGGAAUUUGACAUUAGGAUCAAGGCAGGCAAAGCAGAAAGGGAUGAUCACCAGCUGAUUGAUGGUGUAUCAGGCAUAGCUGACCUGUGGGGAGUAUGGAAUCAAGCAUUCACAAACCGCAUCUAUGGUGACUGUGGCGCAGUUGACAUAACCGUAGCACGUAUUGAUGGGGCAGUCAUGGCGAAUGUAGAAGUUGCCGUGUCAGAAGUGCAGAGCAGUUUUGAGCUGUGCUUCAGUUGUUUUAUCGGUGGUUAUAACGAAGAAAUCCGGCUGUUCGAUGGUGCAAUUGGCGAGUCACGCCUCUUAAAGAGGUCUGUGGUUGCUGUAGCGGAUGGUUCCACUCUGGAUUUGAAGUUCAAGGUGGCCUCGGGGCCAUCCGGUUCAGCGGAGCACUGUUGUUCCUUCAAGGCGGACACACAUGGACUUGACACUCACCAGAUAAAGACUGAAUUCGGGUUGAUGUCAGUGAAGGUGACUUGGUCGACUCUGCUUUCCUCCCAGUAG
rnacentral:rRNA from 1 species